rnacentral:rRNA from 1 species
CAGCACCUCAAGUGGUCAGGAUGAUUAUUGGGCCUAAAGCAUCCGUAGCCGGCGCUGUAAGUUUUCGGUUAAAUCUGUACACUCAACGUACAGGCUGCCGGGAAUACUGCAGCGCUAGGGAGUGGGAGAGGUAGACGGUACUCGGUAGGAAGGGGUAAAAUCCUUUGAUCUAUUGAUGACCACCUGUGGCGAAGGCGGUCUACCAGAACACGUCCGACGGUGAGGGAUGAAAGCUGGGGGAGCAAACCGGAUUAGAUACCCGUGUAGUCC